rnacentral:rRNA from 1 species
CAAUAGCGUAUAUUAAAGUUGUUGCAGUUAAAAAGCUCGUAGUUGGAUUUCUGAUCGAGACAUCAGGUCGGGUCCGAGAGGAUCAUGUACUUUGAUUUUGUUUUGAUCAUCCUUGGGGAGAGCAUUUCUGGCAUUCAGUUGUCGGGAUUGGGAUCCUCAUCGUUUACUGUGAAAAAAUUAGAGUGUUCAAAGCAGGCCUCGGCCUCUGAAUACAUUAGCAUGGAAUAAUAAGAUAGGACUUUGGUGGUCUAUUUUGUUGGUUUGCACGCCAAAGUAAUGAUUAAUAGGGAUAGUUGGGGGUAUUCGUAUUCAAUUGUCAGAGGUGAAAUUCUUGGAUUUAUGGAAGACGAACUACUGCGAAAGCAUUUACCAAGGAUGUUCUCAUUAA